CCGCUAUUCUAGCCUAUUGUUCUAAACUCAGAGGCAAGAGGGAGAAAUUGUAAUAGCUUUCUUUUGGACUGCUUUUGCUGUUACUGAAGUUUAUUCACAAAGAUCACGUGUAGGGGCCUCCUGCUUUCCCAGGUGGCUCUCUUGGGCAGGACUUAUAUAAGGCUCCAGACGGCGCCAUGCCUGUGUUGGCCCCCUGUGAUCAACAGGAAAUACUCAGGAAUCCUUGGCCUUGAGGUUCCCAAGGCAGCAGCAGGUGCCUGACUCCUGGUUAUUAUUUCCGGCUGCACCUCCCGUCGCAGACGUGCCAGAUGCAAAGAGGAUACCAGAUGCAGCCAGGGGCACAGCCGCAGCACGUACGUGGGAGGCGUCCUGAGCGUCCCUUCUCCCGCGCCCCGUCCCCCGCCACCAACCUCCUCCCCGACCCCGCGCCGGCCUCGCUGCGCACCCCCGCCCGAGGUCGGACGUGGACAGGCUGUGCGCACGCGCGAGGGAGGGGCGCGCGGCGGCGGUGGGGAGGGGGGUGGGGGGUAGCCGCCUGGGACCCCCGUUGGAAGGGGAGCACCGCGUUCGAGGAGCCCGGGAGGCCGCUGGCGAUUCCCUCACCAGGCUCAUUUAGAAGCUUCUUUAGCCAUUCUUCCAGGGAUUUCCCUUCCCACGCCAGAAUGCCUUACCUACCUACGCCCACUCCCCAACGGAUACGCCCCUAAUAUAAUAAACAGUUAACAGGGCUCCAAAGAUGCCACAAUCACUUGGAUGAAGCGCUCGAACGUGACCAUCAAUAUGAAUGAUGGCCGCCCUCCAUGUUAAUGAACAGGUAUUUACAUUUC